rnacentral:rRNA from 1 species
GACGAACGCUGGCGGCGUGCCUAAUACAUGCAAGUCGAACGCAGUGGGGACGGGUGAGUAACAAGUGGGUAACCUCCCAUCAGAGGGGAUAACAAGUGGAAACAGGUGCUAAACCGAUACUGAUGGAUGGACCCGCGGUGCAUUAGCUAGUGGGGGAGGUAACGGCUCACCAAGGCCACGUUGCAUAGCCGACCGGAGAGUGUGAUCGGCAACCCUGCGCCUGAGACACGGCCCAGAUUCCUACGGAGGGCGGCGGGAGGGAAUCUGCGGCAAUGGACGAAAGUCUGACCGAGCAACGCCGGGUGAGUAAAGAGGGUUUUCGGUUCGUAAAACUCUGUUUUUAGAGAAGCGGUAUCUAACCAGAAAGCCACGGCUAACUACGUGCCAGCAGCCGCGGUAAUUC